rnacentral:rRNA from 1 species
UACAGAGGUGGCAAGCGUUGUUCGGAAUUACUGGGCGUAAAGGGCGCGUAGGCGGUCUUGUAAGUCUUGUGUGAAAUCCCUCGGCUUAACUGAGGAACUGCACGGGAUACUGCGAGACUUGAGAUCGGGAGAGGGAAGCGGAAUUCCGGGUGUAGCGGUGAAAUGCGUAGAUAUCCGGAGGAACACCAGUGGCGAAGGCGGCGACCUGGGCAGAUACUGACACUGAGGUGCGAAAGCUAGGGGAGCAAAGCGGG